rnacentral:lncRNA from 1 species
GGACAAGCUAGUCCGUUGACCAGGGUUGACGCGGGCCGCGUAACCCUUGUCCUUUCUUUACGCGGGCCGCGUGGGAACCAGUUUCAGCACUAUAUAAGAAGGCCAUCGGGUUUCACUUUCCGUCGCUCACAUCUUUCUUUCUAAACGAAUUUCUGAAGUAGUAGAGAUUAUAGUUGGGUAUUAUACCCCUAAUUAGCGAAGCUCUGCCUCGUUCUGUCGUGGUUCUGCCCGACGUAGUCGUUGGAAUGUCGUCUCGGGGAGGAUUAUAACCAGGGAAUCACAAAGGAAAGCCCUAUAAUAGCAAUGUAACUUAGUAUGAAGCUAAUAAAAGCCAGCUGGAGAGCACUGAAGGCUUGGAAAAGUGACAAUAAAGUUACCUAAAAUAAAAUAGAUGUUUUUAUUAAACAAAAUAGGAUUUGGUCCUAUGAAAAUGUAUGUACU